AUUGAACGCUGGCGGCAGGCUUAACACAUGCAAGUCGAGCGCAUCCUUCGGGGUGAGCGGCAGACGGGUGAGUAACGCGUGGGAACGUGCCCUUUGCUACGGAAUAGCUCCGGGAAACUGGAAUUAAUACCGUAUGAGCCCUUUGGGGGAAAGAUUUAUCGGCAAAGGAUCGGCCCGCGUUGGAUUAGCUAGUUGGUGGGGUAAAGGCCUACCAAGGCGACGAUCCAUAGCUGGUCUGUGAGGAUGAUCAGCCACAUUGGGACUGAGACACGGCCCAAACUCCUACGGGAGGCAGCAGUGGGGAAUAUUGGACAAUGGGCGCAAGCCUGAUCCAGCCAUGCCGCGUGAGUGAUGAAGGCCUUAGGGUUGUAAAGCUCUUUCACCGGAGAAGAUAAUGACGGUAUCCGGAGAAGAAGCCCCGGCUAACUUCGUGCCAGCAGCCGCCGUAA
rnacentral:rRNA from 1 species